AUUGAGCGCUGGCGGCAUGCUUUACACAUGCAAGUCGAACGGCAGCGAGGAGAAGCUUGCUUCUCUGUCGGCGAGUGGCGAACGGGUGAGUAUAGCAUCGGAACGUGCCAAGUAGUGGGGGAUAACCAAACGAAAGUUUGGCUAAUACCGCGUAAGCUCUAAGGAGGAAAGUAGGGGACCUAAAUAAGGCCUUACGCUAUUUGAUCGGCCGAUGUCGGAUUAGCUAGUUGGUGGGGUAAUGGCUCACCAAGGCAAUGAUCCGUAGCGGGUCUGAGAGGACGAUCCGCCACACUGGGACUGAGACACGGCCCAGACUCCUACGGGAGGCAGCAGUGGGGAAUUUUGGACAAUGGGGGAAACCCUGAUCCAGCCAUGCCGCGUGUAUGAAGAAGGCCUUAGGGUUGUAAAGUACUUUUGUUAGGGAAGAAAAGCUAGUUUUUAAUAAAAAUUAGUGAUGACGGUACCUAAAGAAUAAGCACCGGCUAACUACGUG
rnacentral:rRNA from 1 species